CGACCGGCGCACGGGUGAGUAACACGUAUGCAACCUGGCCGUCACAGGUGGAUAACCGGAAGAAAUUCCGACUAAUACAGCAUAACACUCCUGAGGGACAUCCUUCGGGAGUCAAAGGAGGCAACUCCGGUGACGGAUGGGCAUGCGGCGCAUUAGGUAGUUGGUAGGGUAACGGCCUACCAAGCCGACGAUGCAUAGGGGUUCUGAGAGGAAGGUCCCCCACAUUGGAACUGAGACACGGUCCAAACUCCUACGGAAGGCAGCAG
rnacentral:rRNA from 1 species